rnacentral:lncRNA from 10 species
AAAAUCUCCUUCCUUCCUUCUUUUCUUCCUUCCUAUUCUUUGACACACAAAUAAUGUAAAACUUCCCAGGGCACUGUUCCAACUCUAACAGAUGAUUCCCCACGUGCUAGGAGUUAACAGCUUGCUACUGACUGUAAACUCAGAGUUGGGUUUUGCAGUUUUUAGAUAUAUUGAGUGCUCUACAGAUGCAAAGCAGUGACCUCCUCAUCUAAAUCAGACAAAUGCAAAGAUAAGGAGAAGAUCAUGAGGAAGCCAAGAGGUGGACAAACACAAACGCCCAGAAGAGUCUUCCAGGUCAAGAACUGUCUGGAGAAAAGCCAUUGCAGUGACAUGAGAAUGUCAGAAGUAAAACCGAGACGGAGCUGAGCAGAGUUAAGCAUUCUGAUUUCAAUUCAUGAAGCAGGAAAUCUUUCUGGCAGGUCCUGGUUCCUGGGACUCUCUCAGCCCUCACCCCAUGUGUCUCUUCAUGUGGCUGGUCCUGACCUAUAUCCUUUCUCGUAAGUGUCUGUAAUUGGAAGUAGAGCACUUUCCUGAGUUCUGUGAGUCGUUCCAGUGAAUUAUCUAACCUGACCAGGUCAUGAGAAUCCCUGAGUAUCUAGUUAGUCCGAAGUGUAGGUGGCCUGGAGACCCCCUGAACUUGUGGCUGGUGUCUGAAGUUGAGACCCUCGUGAGGGGGACUGUGCCCUUCAUUUGUGGGGUGUAUUACUCAGGGUCCUCCAGAGAGACAGAAUCAGUGGGAUAUAUGAAAGGUGAUUUAUUAGGGGGAGUUGGCUCACACAAUCAUGGAAGUGGAGAAGUCCCACAAUAGUUGUCUGUGAGCUGGAAAACCGGAGAAGCCGGUAGCACAGUUCAAAGCUGGUAGCAUGAAUGGUUCAGUCCAAGUCUAGAAGCCUCAGAACAGGGAAGCAGACAGUGCAGGCCCCCGUCAUCUGAGGCUACAGACCUGACUGUCCCCAGAAGGCCACUGGCACAAGUCCCAGAGUCCAAAAGCAGAAGGGCCUGAGUCUUAUGUCCAAAGUCAGGAGGAAAAAAAGCAUUCCAUCCCAGAAGGGAGAGAGAGAAAAAGGGGGAGAGAGAGAGAACAAGCCCCCUUCUUCUGCCUGCUUGUGCCAGCCAGGGCCACUGACGAUUGGAUGGUGACUGCCCCCUUAAGGGUGAAUCUUCUGCUCUCUCUCAGUCCACUGACUCACACCCUCACAGGCAUGCCCAGAAACAAUGCUUCAUCAGCCGUAUAGGCAGCCCUGAAUCCAGUUAAACUGACACGUAAAAUUAACCGUCACAUGAGAUCUGCCCUAACUCUGGGUGGUUAAUGCCAGAAUUCAAUUGCAGAACACCAGUGGGUGUUAGAAUAUCCUACUUAUUCAAUUUAGCAAAAAUAUUAAUUCCUUGGUGAAGCCUUCCUUGACUUCCCCAGAAUUAGUUGCUCCCUUUCUCUCCUUUUAUUCUAUUAAUAUAUCUAUAAUAGCACACACCAUAUUUUUGCACACAUAUAGUUUUUCUAUUGAAAGGUCUGUUUCCCCUAUUAUCUGGGCCCUCUUCAGGCAGGGCUCCCCUACUGUGUGCAGUCUAGGGACUUGGUGCCCUGUGACCCAGCCGCUGUAGCGGUGGCUAAAAGGGGCCAAGGUACAACUCAGGCCACUGCUUCAGGGGUGCAAACCCCAAGCUCUGGCAGCUUCCACAUGGUGUUGGGCCUGUGGGUACACAGAAGUCAAGAACUGAGGUUUGGGAACUUCUGCCUAGAUUUCAGAGGAUGUAUGAAAACACCUGAAUAUCUGGGCAGAAGCUUGCUACAGGGGCAGAACCCUCAUGGGGAACCUCUGCUAGGGCAGUGCAGAAGGGAAAUGUGGGGUCAGAGCCCCCACACAGAGUCCCCACUGGGGCACUUCCUAGUGGAGCUGUGAGAAGAAGACCACCAUCCUGCAGACCCCAGAAUGGUAGAUCCACAACGGCUUGCACCAUGUGCCUGGAAAAGCCACAGACACUCAAUGCCAGCCCAUGAAAGCAGCCAGGAGUGGGACUGUACCCUGCAAAGCCACAGGAGUGGAGCUGCCCAAAGCCAUGGGAGCCCAACUCUUGCAUCAGUGUGACCUGGAUGUGAGACAUGGAGUCAAAGGAGAUUAUUUCAGAGAUUUAAGAUUCAGUCACUGCCUUACUGGAUUUUGGGCUUGUAUGGGGCCUGUAGCCGCUUUGUUUUGGCCAAUUUCUCCCAUUUGGGACAACUGUAUUUACCCAAUGCCUGUACCCCCAUUGUAUCUAGGAAGUAACUAACUUGCUUGUGAUUUUACAGGCUCAUAGGUGGAAGGGACUUGCCUUGUCUCAGAUAUGACUUUGGACUUGGACUUUCAAGUUAAUGCUGAAAUGAGUUAAGACCUUGGGGGACUGUUGGGAAGGCAUGAUUGGUUUUGAAAUGUGAGGAUAUGAUAUUUGGGAGGGGCUGGGGUGGAAUGAUAUGGUUUGGCCAUGUCCCCAUCCAUAUCUCAUCUUGAAUUGUAGCUCCCAUAAUUCCCACGUUUUGUGGAAGGGACCUAGUAGGGGGUAAUUGAGUCAUGGGGCAGGUUUUUCCUGUGCUGUUCUCAUGAUAGUGAAUAAGUCUCAUGAGAUCUGAUGGUUUUAUAAAAGGGCAAUUCCCCUGCACUUGCUCUUUCUUGCCUGCCACCAUGUAAGGUAUGCCUUUGCUCCUCCUUUGCCUUCAGCCAUGAUUGUGAGGCCUCCCCAGCCAUAUGAAACUGUGAGUCCAUUAAACAUCUUUUUCUUUAUAAAUUCCCCAGUCUUGGGUAUGUCUUUAUUAGCAGCAUGAGUGCAGACUAAUACAAAAUACAACAAGGAAGUCCAAUGAGAGGGAAACUCCCCAGGGAGAGAUGGUGGCUUCUUCAUGUAUCUCAAUGUGUAUUUGGGGGCUGGAGCCAGGUGGGAAGAUAUGAUGAAUGGUCCUAGG